rnacentral:rRNA from 1 species
GUCCACGCCGUAAACGAUGGAUGCUAGCCGUUGGUGGGUUUACCCUUCAGUGGCGCAGCUAACGCAUUAAGCAUCCCGCCUGGGGAGUACGGUCGCAAGAUUAAAACUCAAAGGAAUUGACGGGGGCCCGCACAAGCGGUGGAGCAUGUGGUUCAAUUCGAAGCAACGCGCAGAACCUUACCAGCUUUUGACAUGUCCCGUAUGGGUUUCAGAAAUGAGAUCCUUCAGUUCGGCUGGCGGGAACACAGGUGCUGCAUGGCUGUCGU